GAUGAACGCUGGCGGCGUGCCUAAUACAUGCAAGUCGAGCGAACAGACGAGGAGCUUGCUCCUCUGACGUUAGCGGCGGACGGGUGAGUAACACGUGGAUAACCUACCUAUAAGACUGGGAUAACUUCGGGAAACCGGAGCUAAUACCGGAUAAUAUAUUGAACCGCAGGGUUCAAUAGUGAAAGACGGUUUUGCUGUCACUUAUAGAUGGAUCCGCGCCGCAUUAGCUAGUUGGUAAGGUAACGGCUUACCAAGGCAACGAUGCGUAGCCGACCCGAGAGGGUGAUCGGCCACACUGGAACUGAGACACGGUCCAGACUCCUACGGGAGGCAGCAGUAGGGAAUCUUCCGCAAUGGGCGAAAGCCUGACGGAGCAACGCCGCGUGAGUGAUGAAGGUCUUCGGAUCGUAAAACUCUGUUAUUAGGGAAGAACAAAUGUGUAAGUAACUAUGCACGUCUUGACGGUACCUAAUCAGAAAGCCACGGCUAACUACGU
rnacentral:rRNA from 1 species